rnacentral:lncRNA from 1 species
UGUGACCCUGCUGGGCCACCAUAGUUACCUACAAAAUACCUUGUAGAUAUUAUUCUCCUUUUACAGAGAAGGGAAGUGAGUUUCUAAGAUCUUUAUUUUACAUUUGUAGAAGACUAGGAGUAAAGAAACAGACAGAUAUGAACUCGUAUAAUCAAGACCUUGAAGGAAAUAUGACCCACGAUGCCGUGAAUGUUGCUGCUAAGUAUCACCCAGCUGAAAGCCAGCCAUGUAAAAACAUCUUCGUCCUCAUCCUGCGUAUUCACCAGCUUCCUAUAUGCGGAUUCUCCCACUCUCUCCAGACCUCACUGUCC